CUUCAGCACCUUUAAUUAUAAUUCAAUUCUCUGCUAUUAUUUCCAUUCAUCCAUUCCCAUCUGGAAUAUGUACCUAAAUUGUAUUUGUUUCUGCACGUGGCGCCUUGUUUGAAUUGAAUCCAUACUUCCCUUUCAUAGCGGCGAGCUGUUGUCAGACAUCAAUUGAAUACUCGAUAUGCCUGUUUACUAUCGAUAGUUCCAUUGUGCAUUUUUCAACACUAGUUACCACAGCAACACAAGUUUUUGCUAAUUUAACAAUUUAAUUGAAAAACAAUUGAAUUAGUAUAAUUCAAGUACUAAAAACGUAGGUAAACCGAUAAACAGCCAUGGCGGAAGCCGCAGCAUGCCAAUUGCAGUACGAGAACAAGGAGAACUAUGUAUAUUCUCUUGCUGCAAGCCGUCGUACGACUGGCUAUCUACUAGGUGGUGGGCCACGCGGAAUGACACAAGCGUGUCAUGGUCACUGUGCGUUAGAUACCCUGGGAAGAUAUCACAGAUGGCAAGGAUGCCAUAAAUACAUUGACUUUGAUUACAGAAAUUUUUUCCAAUGAAAAGGCUUCCAGCAAGGGAAUUCUCUGCGAGAAUUCGGUGGAAAUGCUGCUGGGCUACGAUUGGACUCUGUCAAGCAGCAGAAGCUGAAACUCAGGCCCAUGGCCAGGGUUAACGUAAGCGGAUUCGCGAAAAAAUACACGACGACUCGGCAAUAUCAAAGAUUCUGAGGAUGGGGAUAAGGAUGCGUCAACUGUAGAAGCUCGAUGCGCUGGCCUUGACCUAUCUGACUGUGCCUGCCAUAGAUCUGGCCCAGAUGGUAACUGAGAGCAACGAAUCAUAUUUACAAUAAUUGCCGCACCAUAGUGUCGAUAUUGUAAAGCGAUGCGCAGAGAAGAAAAUCUAAACCCUUUUCGGCAUCAUGGAGCUGGAGAAUGAGGAUCGUACGCGUCUCUGGCAGGUCUCUGAAACACAGAUGGCCAAUAGGGCCCGAUUCACCAACAAUGGGCCAUCUUGGGGGUGUAGCUGAAGACUGAAUGCCCGUCAAUGCCACCUUCUUCCCGCAGACGAGCGACUCCUGCGAACAGGAUUACAAGUUCUCCAUCGAAGUGACCGAUUUCCAAUCUGAGUUGAGACCAUGUCGGACUAGGUUAAGUCAAGGUUAAUCACGUUAAGUUUAGCAUAACACAAAUAUCAACAAAUUUUGUAAACAUGGAAUGGCGCAAGUUUUGUGUAACAAUAAAAAGUGUAGCAUGCUUUCAGGAUGCUACGAUAUUGUUUUCCAAUA